GACGAACGCUGGCGGCGUGCUUAACACAUGCAAGUCGAACGAAGUGGCGAACGGGUGAGUAACGCGUAAUCAACCUGCCCUUCAGAGGGGGACAACAGUUGGAAACGACUGCUAAUACCGCAUACUGAAGGAGGGGAUUGCGUCUGAUUAGCUAGUGGGAGGGGUAACGGCCCACCAAGGCGAUGAUUAGUAGCCGGACUGGGAGGGUGAACGGCCACAUUGAGACUGGGACACGGCCCAGACUCCUACGGGAGGCAGCAGUAGGGGAUCUUCCGAAAUGGACGAAAGUCUGACGGAGCAACGCCGCGUGAGUGAUGAGGGCCUUCGGGUUGUAAAGCUCUGUUAAUCGGGACGCGGUACCGGAAUAGAAAGCCACGGCUAACUACGUGCCAGCAGCCGCGGUAAUUC
rnacentral:rRNA from 1 species